rnacentral:lncRNA from 1 species
UUGGCCACAAGGGCACACUGCUGGCUCAUGGCCAACCUGUCGUCCACCAGGACACCCAGGUCCCUCUCUGAGGGAUGAGCUCCUUGCUCAUCCACACAGGUCUCCAGCCACCCUUUCCCAAUUUCUUGCUCACAGGGACGCACCGAUCCUGGGCUUGGAAGAAAAGCUGUUUAAAUGCUCACCAGCUCUCACAGGCCCCCUUACCUUCUAACACCCUAGCUCAGUAAACCUCUGAAGUGCUGGAGUCUAUUUGUUGGGAAUGGGCUUGUUCACACACUGAUGGGAGGUGUGUGGUAAUAGAAUGGGGGCAAUGGUCUUGAACAUCAGAAGUAAGAAUGCUUUUGUUGUGAGUGAUAGAACAGGUUGCCUGGAGAGAUGGUGGAGUCCCCUUCUCUGGAUGGUGUGUGCCACAGUGGAGCAUUUAGCAGUGAGGAUCUGCUGGAAUAUGGAAGUGACUUCAUCAGUGGUGGGAUGAAAGGUGAGUGAUGGGGGGACCCAGGGGUGUGAGCCCUGUGACCCCUUGGAAUUGAUUUAUGGAGCUCUUCCUGCAGGUUCAGGGCUGGAGUGGGGAUCCUGCUGGUGAGGUAAGUGAUGUCCUUGACCAGAGUGUGCUGCCUCUGGGCUUGAUUUCUCUGGCUGGGGUCAGGUGUUGGGUUUGUUUAAGUGGUGAUGGUGUGUGGCAGCCCUGCUCCUGGAGGAAUGGAAUUGAAUGAGAAGUGCAGCCUGCAGGUCUCUGGCAACUGUUUUCUGUGGGAGCUUGGAGUCCUGGUGCUAUUUCCUGUAGUGGGGUGGCCUGUUGUCUUGGUUGGUUAUGUCCAGCACUCCCAAGCUGUUUUCUUCUCUCAGAUCCUUGUGGCAGCUGGUCCUGAAAGGAAGGUCCUUCUCCUAGACUGGGAGCUGUGUUGUGCAUGUGGAAGAAGCAGGGGAGAUCUACCAGUGUAUGCCCCUAAAAUACUGAGCCUGCUUCUGCUAGGUGGGAAGCUGGUGAUAUGUCCCUUUUGUAGAGGAAUUAUUGGCUUGUGAAAGCUUUCUGGAAAGAUUGUCUCUACUGCAGAACGAGGAAGCAUCCUGCAUUGGAAGGGACCCCCAUCUCCAAGCUCUGCGGGGCGCUGCCCAGACUUCAGCUGCCCUCUUUGAGAGUGGCAUCCAAAUGCUUUUUGAACUCUAGCAGACCUGGGCUGUCACCUGGUGACCUGGGAAAGCUUGUUCCAAUAUAUCACCCUCUAUUUCUGACAAGUUUUUCCUUAUCUCUCCUCUGACUUAACUUCAGGCUGCUCCCUCACAUCCUAUUGCUAGCUACUGGGGAAAAGAUGCUGAGCCCCACCUUGCUUUACAGCUUCCUUUCAGCUAUUUUGAGAAAGGGAGUUCUAGUCCUUCCUUGAAUGCUUUGAGACCGCUAUUUCUUUUGUUUUAUACUGCACUGCCCACAGCUGCACAUAAUUAUCACAAUGAGGCUGUAAUGCUGCAGUGGGAUGAUCCCUUCUUAUGCUGGGCCUGAUGUGCCCUGGGGUGCAGUUGGCCCCCUAGACUGCUGGGAUGUGCUGCUGACUUGGUCAACUGCAUCCUCUGCAUUCCUUUCGGCAGGGCAGCUCUCCAGCCUUGUCCCUAUCUUUAUGCACAACUGGGGUGGGAUAGAUCCAGGUGCUUGCUCUUGUGGUUGGCAAUUGAACAGCCUGUUACUGGGUGGUGAUUCUUCUUCAGGGCCUUUCUAUCCUUGAGCAGACCCCCCAGCUCCUCCUAAUUUAGAGUAAUAUGCAAACAUACUAAAUACAGAUUUGACUCCUGUGUCCUGCUUAUUUAUAGGCUUAGGUAUAGAGAUACCAAAUAGAACUGCCCGGAAAAGAAGCCCUACGAAUCUGACCGGUGUCUGUUGCCUAGCCUCUCAUGAUCUCAUUCAUUCAAACAAAUCCUUGGAGACGCUUAUUCAUGCGGCUAAGUCAUUGCUUAGCUGUUAGUUUGUUUUAAAGUACAACCAGGAAGGGCUGUUUUCUGACAAAGGGCGUAGUUCACAGACUCUUUCACCUGACAAGGGUUUUCCUUAACUUCUCAAAGAGAAAUAAGAGCUUGGAGCUAGACCUCCCUUCGGGGGGAGAUGCGACCACAUCUCCCUUCGGGGGAGAAAAAGAAGAAGGAUUUUAAAAAAAUUUUUAUGACAAAUGAGAAUCAAAUCCCUAGUCCUUGUCAAUGACGAACACAAUCGAUCAUCAGCAACCUCAGUAAUCCUACCUUUGUUCUGUCAUUGUUUUUACAGAGUACCUAUCCCUUGUCAUAUGAGGAAGCUCUAACUUUCUCCGGUUUCUACACUCACUUGUGGUAAUAACAUCCCUAGCCACCUCCUUUCUGCAUCAACUCAGGUUACCAAGCUGAGAAAAUAGAACCCUCCCCCCAGACCUACUCAAUGGAUGUCAAAGUUUUUUAUUUUAAUAUGAAAAGAAAUAUUAAAAAAAAAAAACAGUACAAGGACAAUAGGAGGUCUUUAAAACUUCCUUACCUGUUGUAGCCUUUCUAUGCUGUUCAUAGUUCGGUAAGUACUCGGUGCAACAACAACAAAAAAAGAAAGCAGUAGAAGGAGGAAAAGUAAGGAAAAAGCAAGAUUUCAGAUUUCACCUUCCUAACUGCACUGAGACAGGCUCAAUGAGAAAUUGUCGCAAAAAGAAAAGUGCACACAUCCAAAGUCCCUGGCUCACAAAACAACUCUGCAAAGGAGGGAUCUCCUGAAAGAUAUCAUUCCUCAGUGGCAGACAGCUCUUAAAUGGGGUCUAAGAGGAGUAGAGCCUGGCUCCACCCUUUCCACAAUUGAAUUGCCUUCGGCUGUUCUCACAGGCCUGACCUGGUCUCUCCCAGGUGCUCAGUCAGUGAUUUGGGCCCUGACUUGGCAGUUCCCUUACAGUCAUGCAAAUCUCUGGUGCUUUUCAAGUCCCCAGCAAGUCUAGGUGUUCAAGUUAGUCAGUGAUCACAUUGCUGAAUUCACAUACAAUUUACUAACUUUUAACAUUCUAACAAGUAAUAAAAUACAGACCACAAACUUGCCUUGAAAUACA